AUUGAACGCUGGCGGCAGGCCUAACACAUGCAAGUCGAGCGAGCGGCGGACGGGUGAGUAAUGUAUGGGGACUGCCCGAUAGAGGGGGAUAACUACUGGACACGGUAGCUAAUACCACAUCCUAUCGGCUAACCCCUAUGGGAUUAGCUAGUAGGUGAGGUAAUGGCUCACAUAGGCGACGAUCCCUAGCUGGUCUGCGAGGAUGAUCAGCCACACGGGGACGGAGACACGGCCCAAACUCCUACGGAGGCGGCAGAGGGGAAUAUAGCACAAGGGGGACAAGCCUGAUGCAGCCAGGCCGCGGGGAGUAAGAAGGCCCGAGGGUGGUAAAGUACGUUCAGUCGGGAGGCGUUACCGACAGAAGAAGCACCGGCUAACUCCGUGCCAGCAGCCGCGGUAAUAC
rnacentral:rRNA from 1 species